ensembl:lncRNA
CAGGAACUUAAAAGUCUUUCACUGAAACUGCAAUCCCUGUAGUGUUCUGUGUAUGUGUCUUCUCAGUACAGGUGACAAUAUUCUUCAAUCAAGCUCAUCAAUGACUCCGCCUACCCCGUUACCCGGUUCAGCUGUUUCCACUCACCAUCUGUCCCAUCAUGCAUUUCUGAGCAGUAUAUGUACUUCUGGUUUUUGGUCAUUCUCUCUCUCACUCUCCAUGCGUAAGGUUGUGUAUGUGGUUUCUGGUUAGUUGUGAAGUGGUUUUGCGUGGUUUGGAGUGAGAGCUGUGUGUUGUGUAUGUGGUUUCUGGUUAGUUGUGAAGUGUUUUGUGGUUUUGCGUGGUUUGGAGUGAGAGCUGUGUGUGUGUGGUUGAACUUUGAUUGUACAACUGGUACAUUGUCUAACACUGUUAUUUCCUCUUGUUUCUACAGGGAGUGAGGAGUAGUUUAGCCCUGCUCCGGAGUCUACAUCCCUGCACGUAGGAAGAGGAGUACAUCCCUAACAGAUGCCAGCCAGGACAUUAGACUGACAAUGGAGGUUUUGGAUGCAAUGAAGACACAAGGAGGAAUGUCAAUGAGAGAAGCAAAAUAAUCUUUGAUGGAGGGAACCUUUAAGGGAGUAGCCCUGAAGGAAAGCACAGAGAAGGUUAAUCAGCUUCAGUUCUUUCAGGCAGUGAUCGACAUCCUGUCAAGUCGUCUUCCAGAUUCUGAACUCACAAAGUUAUUGAAACCAUUAGACCCUCACAUCUGGCCCAAAACAAGAGAUGAACUGAUCUUGUAUGGGGAGGACGAGAUAUAUGAACUUGCAAAGGAUCUGGGUGAAUCCGCCAGAGAGGCUGUUGAAGAUUUCCGUUCCUGGAAACUGCAAAAGGAUCAAAGUGGGAAGACCUUAAGAAGAUUGAUAGUUGCAAGCCAAACAUAUCUAGCAACUUCAGCAGAGUGUGAACGAGGGUUUUCUGCCAUGAAUGAUACAGCCAGUAAGACAAGAAAUCGCCUGAGGGUCAGAAGUCUCUCAGCUGUCUUGUUCGUCGACAUUAAUGCACCCCCAUUGGAGAUGUUCGACCCUAAGCCUUUUGUGAUGUCCUGGCUUAAAGAAGGGCACUGCCCAUCUACUGCAAAGAAGGCAGCAAAGAAUAAGAGAGAAGACAGACCACUGUGGUCCAUUAUGUGUUGAUGUUGGACCUCCUUUAAAGGUCUAGAGCAGGGGUGCCUGCCCAGUCCUGCUCCUGGAGAGCUACUGUUCUGUAGGUGUUCUCUCCAACCCCAGUUAACCCCUAACCUGAUGAAGUUGUUAACAAAUGAAUAAAAUAUGUGCCUAGUCACUUAACAUGUUGAUUUUGAAUAAUGUGGUUACUAUUGGAUUAUUGUCAUUUUAAUGUCAUGUUAGAAUAUCAAACUUUUUUUUUUUUUCGUGUCCCUUAAGAUUUUACUUCAGG